rnacentral:rRNA from 2 species
UGCGACCCCAGGUCAGGCGGGGUUACCCGCUGAGUUUAAGCAUAUC